UGAUCCCUUUCGCUGUAUGGCGUGCUCGUUUGGGUUGGGCGUCGGCUAAGAGUGCUCGGAGUGUGGAUUAACUCUAGUCUCCUAUCAGGUGUGUAUUUCUCACUACUCUAGCUGUAGGAUGGCUACUUCGGGCCGCGAUAGGCCGAAAAGGGCCAUGUGGGCCCAAUGGGCCUACGGGCCCAAUUGGAUAAGUUGUUUGAUUGUGUAGUAAAUAUUGGACUAGGCUAGGUGAAUCUUAUAACUGUGGCUAGAUUUGGGCUAAAAAGGCCACACGAACGUGUGGGCCUAUUUGGACCGAGAAGGGCUUUAGGCCCAUUCGUAUUGUUAUCCCUAUUUAGAAUACUUUAGUUUACCAAAUUACUGAAAUGCCCUCGACUUGUAAAAUUACCAAAGUACCCCCAAUUUAUAAAAUUACCCAAAUAUCCUUGAUUUGUAAAAUUACCGAAAUACCUUCAGUUUACAAAAUUACUGAAAUACCCUCAAUUUUGUAAAAUUACUGAAAUACUCCUGUAAGAUAGAAUUACCAUUUUAUGCUCGAUUUAUAGAAUUACCAUUUUACCCUCGAUUUAUAGAAUUAUCGUCUUACCCUCGAUUUAUAAAAUUACCAUUUUACCCUCGAUUUAUAAAAUUACUGAAAUACCCUUGGUUUACAAAAUUACCAAAAUACCCUCGAUCAAUAAAAUUACCAAAAUAGCCCUGGUUUGUAAAAUUACUAAAAUACCCCUUGAUUUGUAAAAUUAUUGAAAUACCCUCGACUCGUAAAAAUUACCAAAGUACCCUCGAUUUAUAGAAUUAUUAUUUCACCCUUGAUUUACAGAAUUACUGUUUUACCCUUGAUUUACAAAAUUACCGUUUUACCCUCGAUUGUGAAAUUACUGAAAUACCCCUAUAGGGUAGAAUUACCAAAACAUCCCUAGUUUGUAAAAUUACCAAAAUACCACUGGUUUCUGAAAUUACUGAAAUACCCUCAAUUUGUAAAAUUACCAAAAUACCCCUAAUUUACAAAAUUACAGAAAUACCCUUGAUUUGUAGAUUUACCAAAACACCCUUGUAGGAUGAAAAGACUAAAAUACCCCUAAUAGGUAAAAAUACCAUAAAGCCUUCGUAAGGUAAAGUGACCGUAAUACCCUUGUAUGGUAAAAUGAUGAAUACGGCCUUAUGUUCCGUAUGACUGAUGUGCUUAGGAUUUACAUAUAUUGAUAUUGGAAUAGUUAAGUUUGAGUGACAGGUGGUGGUUAUCGUAAGUGAUUGAUUAUGGAAACGUUUCAACUUCAACCCGUAACAGGUGUGUACUAACCCUCGUAAUAGCUUAGAUUAAUAUUUGCUGAGAAGCCGAAAUGCUAAAAUACUGGUAUUUCAGGAACUUGUAAUGUUGCGUUUGGGUAUAGAUGCAAUAAAUACGAUAAGAUCGGUGUUUGGAUCGAUGGAACAGGUAAGAACUCAAUUUUGUGCACGAUGGUAAGUUGGGCCUCAAUGGGCUAAAAUUGGGCCCAAUGGGCUUUCGGGCCCAUUUGGGUAAAAUUGAUAGAAAAUGGAAUUUGGAAAAGUUGCACGAUAACACGGUUAGUACUGUUGUAAAAUUUGGAUUAAGCAGGCUUAGUGGGUUAAAUUGGCAUUCAUAGGGCCCAUUAGAGGUUUUGGGCCCAAAAGCCCGAGUUUGAUAAAGUGGGUUAAAGAUCAUUGUUUAAACACUCAGAAAUAUUGAUAAUUGUUGAUGAACAUGGAAAACCCUAAUAUUUGGUAAAAUUAUGAAAUUACCCUUAUAGUAUGAAAAUGACUGUUUUGCCCCUAGGUAAAAAUGACCAUUAUACCCCUAGGGCUUAAUUAUAAAUUUGAUACGUGGGAUAUGAUAUAAAUGAUUGAUAUGAUAUGCACAUGAUAUGUAUAAAAUGCACAUGAUAUGUAUGAAAUGCACAUGAUGUAUUCAUAAAUGCAUUGGGUUGGGUUUUUAUAUGGAUGGAGGAAGUGCAAAAGGGCUUAUGCCCCAGUUUAUUGAAAAGGGCUUAUGCCCUAGUUUAUUGCAAAGGGCUUAUGCCCCAGUUUACCGAAAAGGACUUAUGCCCCAGUUUAUUGAAAAGGGCUUUGCCUCAGUUUACCGAAAAGGGCUUUGCCCCAGUUAUUAAAAGAGGCUAGGCCUCCAGAUAUAUGAUAAAGAAGCUAUGCUGCCAGUGGUGUGUUGGUUGGGUAGGUUGAAUCAUUCCCCACAUGGUUUGUUGGUUGGUACGGGUGGAGAGUAGCGGAUGGUGGGUCGAGUAGUCUCCCCAAAUGGGCUUGCAUACAUUCAUUGGUAUUUCAUAUGAUAUUGAAAUGGGCUUGCAUACAUCCAUUGACACUACAUGUGAUAUUGAAAUGGGCCUAUGGGCCAUACCGUUUACAGUAAAGGCUUCGGCCCAGUGAUAUGAUUUAUGAAAAGGAUUCGACCCUGUAACCGUUAAAAGAAAGGCUUCGGCCCAGUAUAUGUCAAGACUAAAUAAGGCUUUGGCCCAGAUUGUACUGAUACUGUGUUUUCACUGUUUGUAUGUUAUUGGGAUUACACACUGAGUUUUCGUAAAAUCACCCUGUUUCUAACUGUGCAGGAAAUCCCUAAGCUUAGAUGGUUUGGAGCUACGAGGGACUCGGAGAUGGCCACACUACUGUUUCUGUUUCUUUUAAUUGCAAUAAGUAGCCGAUUUAUUUCUUUAUAAGUUUUAUCUUAUUAAUAUUAUUAUUUGGUUUUGGGUUGUAAUAAGGCCAUUUUAAUUAUUUUUCUGGGAUUAUUUUAUUUUAUAC
rnacentral:lncRNA from 1 species